AAGCACUGCCAUACCACCCUGAAUACGCCCGAUCUAGUCUGAUCUCGGAAGCUAAGCAGGGUUGGGCCUGGUUAGUACUUGGAUGGGAGACCGCCUGGGAAUACCAGGUGCUGUAAGUG
ensembl:rRNA 5S_rRNA 5S ribosomal RNA